rnacentral:rRNA from 1 species
GACGAACGCUGGCGGCGUGCUUAACACAUGCAAGUCGAACGGAAAGGCCCUGCUUGCAGGGUGCUCGAGUGGCGAACGGGUGAGUAACACGUGGGUGAUCUGCCCCUUACUUUGGGAUAAGCCUGGGAAACUGGGUCUAAUACUGGAUAGGACCAUGCUGUAGGUGGUGUGGUGGAAAGAUUAGUUUCGGUAAGGGAUGAGCUCGCGGCCUAUCAGCUUGUUGGUGGGGUAAUGGCCUACCAAGGCGUCGACGGGUAGCCGGCCUGAGGGGGUGGACGGCCACAUUGGGACUGAGAUACGGCCCAGACUCCUACGGGAGGCAGCAGUGGGGAAUAUUGCACAAUGGGCGCAAGCCGGAUGCAGCGACGCCGCGUGGGGGAUGACGGCCUUCGGGUUGUAAACUCCUUUCAGCCAUGACGAAGCCCUUGUGGUGACGGUAGUGGUAGAAGAAGCACCGGCUAACUACGUG